rnacentral:lncRNA from 10 species
UUGCCUUCAAUAUCUGGCUAGCUCAAGUGCUGCUGUGAUGAACACCUCAAUUGUGGUCACUUAAGGACCUGUGCAAGAGCUUCUUAGGGGUGCACAUUCCCAGGAGUGGAACUGCUGGGUCAUCGGGAAAAAUACAUUCUACCACAUUUGAAAAUACUUUCCAAUCUAUCAACUUUCUCUAAACUUGUUUAUGAUGUUUUUUGUUGAACAGAACAGUUUAAAAUUUUGAUGUCAUCAAGUUCAUCUUUUUUUGAUUUUAUAGUUUAUGCUUUGAGUCUUGUUUAAAUGCUUUUCUUCUUUUUUCUACCCUAAGAUUACAAAGCUAUUCUUCUAUUUUUAAUUUCUAUUAGUUUUACCUUUUACUUUUAGGUUUUUUUUUGUUGUUGUUGUUGCUAAUGUAGAGCUCACCUUUGCAUAUGGUAUGAGAUAGGGGUUUAAUUUUAUAUUUUUCUCACAGUGAAUCAAUUUCCCCAACAUUAUCUAUGAAACCAAAUCUCUGUGUUAGAUUGGAUUAUUGUUCCCAAUCCUUCUUGUUCUCCUGGCUCUACAAUUAUACACCUGUGCCUUUUGGCAUGAAGUUUUGCAUUACCUUCCACUAUUGAUGUUCAACUUGGCCAUAUGACUUGUUUGGCCAAUGGAAUGUUGGUGAAUAUGAUGAGAGGAGAGGUGUUAAAUGUAUUUGAAUGAUUUGGCUUGACCUCUUGCCAGAAGGAGACAUGUGGUGAAGACUUGAAUCUGACCUGCAUCCUGGAGCCAAGUCCAGCUGAAUUCAGCUGAACCCAACCAAGUCUUAAGGAGCCCAGAUGAGAUGAGCUGAAUCUCAGUUCAUAUACAGACCCAUAAGGGAGAAAAAUAAAUGACUACCAUAAGCCACUGAUAAGUUGGGAUUAUCUGUUACAUAAUAUUAUUAUUGCAGCAAGCAAUAGCUGACUAACUCAACAUGAUUUCCUCAUGGAUUUGUGGUGUUACCAUGAUCACAUAUCAGAUUCUCUUAUGUAAAUGGGUUGUUUCUGAGUUCUCUAUUCUGUUUCAUGGUUCUGUAUGUCUGCUACUAUAAAAAAUGACCGACUUAUAAAGAAAUUUAGUCUUCCAUGUGCAUUUUAGAAUACGUUUAAAUUCCCCAAAUCUUGCUACAAGUUUGGUUUGCAUUGAAUUUAUAAACACAUUUAGAGAUAAUUGAGAUCUUAAUAACGUUACAUCAUCUUAUCCAUAAACAUUAUAUAUACCUCUAUUUGGGUUUCCUUUGAAUUCCUUCAAUAAAUUCAAAUAUGUUAAUUCCUGGAUACUUUAUAGUUUUGUUGCUUUUAUAAAUAGUAUCUUAUUUUCUAGUUUGUUAGUGUAAGUGUGAAUGAAUACUUUCAGUUUCCAUGAAUUGAUUUUCUUUUUCUUUUUUUUUUUUGGCGACCAAGUCUCACUUUGUUGCCGAGCCUGGAGUGCAGUGGCGUGAUCUCGGCUCACUGCAACCUCCGCCUCUGAUCCUUCAAGCAAUUCUCAUGCCUCAGCCUCCUGAGUUGCUGGGACUCAGGCAUGCACAACCACACCAGGCUAAUUUUUGUAUUUUUAGUAGACACAGGGUUUUUCAUCAUGUUGUCCAGGCUGGCCUCUAACUCCUGACCUCAGAUGAUCCACCUGCCUUAGCCUCCCAAAGUGUUGCCACUGUGCAGGGCCAUGAAUUGAUUUUCUAUUUGGGAAUCUUGCUAUAUCAGUUGGGAUUAGAUUUGGCUAUAGGUAAUGCAAACACACAAACACAAACUGAAAUAAAAGUGUCAUGAUGAGACAGAGGUUUAUUCAAGAAAUUCAAGAAGUUUGGUGAGUAGAUAACUCAGGGCUGGUACUGUUAUAUCAGGUGUCUUCUGUUUUGUUGCUCUGCCAUGUGUGGCUUCCCUAUCCAAGGUCAGCUUAUGAUCUAAAAUGACUGCUAACACUGCAGCCAUUAUGUCUGCAUUCCAGAUAACAGGAAAGAGGAUGAAGGCACACUUUCUCCCUUUAAGGAUGUAUGCACUACUUCUGCUUACAACCCGUUGCCUGGGGCAUGACAAUACUUAGCUGCAAGGGAGGCUGGCAAAUGUUGUUUUUAUUCUGGUUGGCCCUGUGCCCUGCUAAAAAACCUAGUAUUAUGGAAGAAGGGGAGAACAACAUCUCUGUCACCUUGCUGAACGCUUAUUAUUUCUAAUAGCUUGCUAUUUCUAUUGGAUGUUUUACGUGGUUGAUCGUAUUACCGCAAACAAUCCAAAUUUAGUUUCCUUCCUUCUAAUUCUUCUAUUUCCUCCUCCUUUAAAAAAUAUCAUUCUGUUAGCCAGAACUUUCAGCGUCAUAUUAAAUAGUAGAGGCAACAUUAUCUUGAUCUCAAACUUAUGUGGAAUGUGUUUAAAGUUAAUCCAUUAAGUAAUGUACUUGCUGUACAUUUUGGUCCUUUAUGAGGUUAAGUAAAUUUCCUUCUAUUCCUAAUCUUAUAAAAGUUUUUAUCAUUAAUAAGUUAUAUACUCUCUCAAAUGCUUUUUCUUAGUCUUUUGAAAUGGAUUAUAUUGAUAGACUUUCUGAUGUUAAAUCAUACUUGAAUUUCUGGAGUAAAGUCUACCUAAUUUAUUAUGUUUUCAUGAUAGAGGACUAGAUAGGUGGCUAGUCAGAUAAAUGCAUUCUAAAGACAGGGAAAUACGUUUUAAGGUUUCUCCUAGCUCACUGUAAUAAGCAUGUUGGAUUUAGUUUGCUAGUAUUUUACCUAUAAUUUUUGCAUCUAUGUUCAUAAGUGAAAUGGGCCUAUUCUUUUCUUGAUCUGUUCUUUUUUCAGAUUGAGAAUCUAAUUUGGCUGUGUAGGUUUAAAAAAAGUUUUUCCCUCAACCUUCUUUUGCUCACAAUGGCCUUUUUCUUCAUUUGUUUUGUAAUUUGGAUUGUGAGCUCAUGUUUGCCUAGGCUUUAUAUGUAGAAAUU